UUCCCAGGAUGUUGCUGCGCCAAGUAUGGAUGAAUGGGCAUAACAGGCAUCUUUGGUUGGCCCUGACCUAAGCCAGCCAUUGCAAGAUUGGCCAAGCCAGGUUGAUUCAUUCCAAAUGAGAAGCCAGGCGAAGGCCCCAGCUGCUGCCUUCCAGGCAGGCUGAAGGAUCCAAAUGCAGGAGGCCGCUCAAACCUAGCCAUGCUGUUGUGAACCUGUGAUGACUCAUGUCUGUGAACAUGGGUUUGAACAGCAACAGCAGCUUGGCCUGGGGUGGCAUUGGAGGUGCCAGAGUUCACAUGGCUGCUAUUGCGAGCAGCAGGAACAUCAUGAUUGUGCUUCCCCUCAUACGUAGUGAUCACUGACUUGAGAUCAUGUGAUGCCCUCUCCACAUGCUUUCUAACCGUGCAGCCUGCACUAGUACACUUGUAAUAACUCCU
rnacentral:lncRNA from 1 species